AAAGAGGAAAGGCCACUUAUUGAGAUGUGCCUUUUGUUAACUAAAUCGUCUGUUAAAUUAGGUAAAAGGGAGACUGGAGGAGGACUUGAAGAGCGACUUAACUUGAAUAUGUUUUGAUCAGUUGGUGCAUUGAUGAACACAGUGACGUACAUCAGUAUAAAUAAAGCCACAUUUAAGUGUUUGACUGAGAGCUGAUGUAUGCUGCUAUGCCCAUCAAUGGGGCCCUGGAAAAGACCUCAACUCUUGCCUGCUCACCAACGGUCAUCAAUAGGGAGAACAGAAAUAGAAACAUGUAUGGAGUCAGCAUAUGGAGACUUGCAAGAUGAUGUGAUGGAAGUCCAGACUGGCAGACGGGCUUCAUACUGAUGUCUCUGAAGGGAGAAAGACCUGGCACUCGGCAUUAACAUUUUACUAGACACAAUUUUCCUUGUAUUUCUUUUAUUAAAUGGUAUCAGACAAUAUGUGUAGGGAGGAACCCUGUGUAUUCUGAACCAGGAUCAGGGAUCUCCUGUUGUGAGCGGGACACCACACAGGAAGGUAUGGCUACUCGGACAUGUUUGCUAAGGUAGCCCCAAAACCUCCAGACAAAAUGCAGAUCGGCACAAUAUUUGUAUCGGCUGGGAACGACAAUAAAAGAUGAAAGGUUCACAUUGUUAUAU